AUGUUUCGGAAUGAUUACCAACUCCCACACAAAAAGGGGCAGCUGUGAAUUAAAAUUGAGAAAUCAUUCCAAAACAAGUACACAAUGUGGUGUUGCCUAAUAAUCCUAUUGCAGCUCUUCUCAAAUGACAAAUGCUUCACCUAUCCCAUGCGGCCUGGUAUACGCUAGGUCUAUGCUUCAACCAAUGGACCAUCUCCCUGUCUAGAAGAGAAUUGUUCAAUACAGAAUCUAGCAUUGGGCUGCCAAUAACUUUUGGAGAACUCUUGAAUGACCAUAUCUGGUCUUUAGGCCAAGCCUUCUGAGGGUACUUUUCCAUCCUUUCCAGCAAAAGCUUCAGAGUCUUUGGACCAUAAAUGCGUUGCUGUGAUGGCUUCUGAACCUUGGCAUAGAAGGAACCAAUGUCAGGUAAAGACAAGCAGCCCCUACUUGCCUUAGCCAGGCUACAAUCUGGGUCAGCCAGCAUUAGUCUGUAUAUGCCAAUAGAUCAACUGUCCCAAACAAUAAUUUUCACCAUAUGUCUUUCGAUAUUCAUGGAUACCUGCUCCCAACUUAUCAGCAUACUUCGGACCCAAGUCAAGCGGACUAAUGUGAACUGGUGGAGAAGUAUAUGUUUUGUACUCCUGAACUCUAAAGAAGCUUCUUGUGUAAGCAUAAAUAUGGAUCAAGUCAGCUGCAGCAUCAUUCCGGCACUUGUAUGUACAUGGAAUAUUCCGGACUUCAUCCCUCAACCACAACAAUGACUUCUGAAGUUCUUUCCGAAUGUUAUCACAUUCUGAUAAAUCACGUGCAUGAAUCUUGGACUUGAGAUCAUUAAGUAUGCUGGCAUCCACAUGAGGUGCCAUGCACUGAAGAAGCUCCUCAACAAGUGAUCCCUCCCCUUUCCAGAGGAAAGAAACAGUUUCCUCAGGACUUAGCCUCUCCAAUGGAGGUGGAGCUUUUUUUUGGGUCACCAAAUACACAUCUCAUCACAUACCUCACCUUGUCAAGAGUUACUGCUAAAUUUUGAAGCCUCUGGUUAUAAACACCUUCAGCCUGAACCUCGGCAUCACUUCUUUCAACCUCAAGACAAAUAUCUGAGAAAUAUUUCCUUUUUUCUUCCAAAUUGUGCCUUAGAAUUUCCUCAGGAAGCUUCGUUCUCUCCAGAUUUAUGAACCUCACCAGACGAGCAGAAUAUGCAACCACCCAAUCUGGCAAACCACCAAGCAAACAACUGCCUAAACCAGCCCUCCCCAAGUCAAGAUAAUCUUCUUCAGAUACUGAAUUUAGUUCACAAGCUUGAAGCAUCAAAUGAUGUCGAUCCAGCAUGGCAUGCCACUCCUUCAGUACCUUCUGGAAAGCCCC
rnacentral:misc_RNA from 1 species